rnacentral:tRNA from 1 species
GAGGCGCUGGCGGAGGCACUGGAGCGGCUGGCUGCCGACCAGCCGCAGGAGGAGCGCGCCGCUGAGCUUGCGGCGGCGCUUGA